rnacentral:rRNA from 1 species
UUGAUCCUGCCGGCGGCCACUGCUAUCAGGUUUCGACUAAGCCAUGCGAGUCAAGGGGUCGUAAGACCCCGGCGUACCGCUCAGUAACACGCGGAUAAUCUACCCCCAGGUGAGGCAUAACCUCGGGAAACUGAGGAUAAUUCCUCAUAGUUAUCAUAUGCUGGAAUGCUUUGAUGAUGAAAGCCUUUACGCCUGAGGAUGAGUCUGCGGCCUAUCAGGUAGUAUGUGAUGUAAAGGACCACAUAGCCUAGGACGGGUACGGGCCCUGAAAGGGGGAGCCCGGAGAUGGACUCUGAGACACAAGUCCAGGCCCUACGGGGCGCAGCAGGCGCGAAAACUGUGCAAUGCGCGAAAGCGCGACACGGGAAACCUGAGUGCCUUGACAUUGUCAAGGCUUUUCUCAAGCCUAAAAAGCUUAAGGAAUAAGAGCUGGGCAAGACGGGUGCCAGCCGCCGCGGUAACACCCGCAGCUCGAGUGGUGGUCACUUUUAUUGAGCCUAAAGCGUUUGUAGCCGGUUUUGCAAAUCUUCAGAUAAAUUCCUCUGCUUAACAGAUGAUCUUCUGAAGAGACUGCGAGACUUGGGACCGGGUGAGGUUGAAGGUACUUCCGGGGUAGGGGUAAAAUCCUGUAAUCCUGGAAGGACGACCGGUGGCGAAGGCGUUCAACUAGAACGGAUCCGACGGUGAGGAACGAGGGCUAGGGUAGCAAACCGGGAUUAGAUACCCGGGUAGUCCUAGCUGUAAACA